UUAUAAGCGGAGGAAAAGAAACUAACUAGGAUUCCCUCAGUAGCGGCGAGCGAACAGGGAUGAGCCCAGCACCGAAUCCCGCGAUCGUAACCGGUCGCCGGGAAAUGUGGUGUUUGGAAGGAUCCGUUAUCCCGACGUUUCACAAUGCGUCCAAGUCCAUCUUGAACGGGGCCACAACCCAUAGAGGGUGCCAGGCCCGUAGUGACCGUUGUUGAUGUCGGGAGGGUCUCUUCUGAGAGUCGGGUUGCUUGAGAGUGCAGCCCUAAGUGGGUGGUAAACUCCAUCUAAGGCUAAAUAUGACCACGAGACCGAUAGCGAACAAGUACCGUGAGGGAAAGUUGAAAAGAACUUUGAAGAGAGAGUUCAAUAGUACGUGAAACCGUUCAGGGGUAAACCUGAGAAACCCGAAAGGUCGAAGGGGGAGAUUCAUCGCGGCUCGCUCGCUGGCGCAGUGGCGGAGUGUGUGACGAAUGGCGUACGCGUCGUUUGCGCCCUCUGCUCUGCGCGCCGGUGGCGAACGUGUGCACUUCUCCCCUGGUAGGACGUCGCGAUCCGUUGGGUGUCGGUCUGAGGCUCGUGGUGGAGACCGUGGGCGGUGGCUUGCCAUCGUUUACGCGGACCCACGAUGUUUUCCCGGCCGACUCGCUCGACGGUGUACACGGAAAGGCGCAAGGCCGCGAGUUUUUAUUCGCGUUCGGCCCACGGCAAGCAUGUCAGUUUAAAAACGUGCUGGUGAUCGGACCUAGUGCCGGUCCCGGCGCCUGGCGGCUGUUCGCCGUGGUGCUCUCGAACAGACCUUGGGUUCGCUUUAUGUGGACCUUCGCCGAUCUGCGACGCUAUUGCUUUGGGUACUUUCAGGACCCGUCUUGAAACACGGACCAAGGAGUCUAGCAUGUGCGCGAGUCAUUGGGACAUAACUAAACCUAAAGGCGUAAUGAAAGUGAAGGCUCGCCUUGCGCGAGCCAAGGGAAGAUGGGCGGCCGUUCCUCAACCGGCGGCCGUCCCGCACUCCCGGGGCGUCUCGUUCUCAUUGCGAGAAGAGGCGCACCAAGAGCGUACACGCUGGGACCCGAAAGAUGGUGAACUAUGCCUGGUCAGGACGAAGUCAGGGGAAACCCUGAUGGAGGUCCGUAGCGAUUCUGACGUGCAAAUCGAUCGUCGGAACUGGGUAUAGGGGCGAAAGACUAAUCGAACCAUCUAGUAGCUGGUUCCCUCCGAAGUUUCCCUCAGGAUAGCUGGCGCUCGUUGCGUACGAGUCUCAUCCGGUAAAGCGAAUGAUUAGAGGCAUUGGGGUCGAAACGACCUCAACCUAUUCUCAAACUUUAAAUGGGUGAGAUCUCCGGCUUGCUCGAACACAUGAAGCCGUGAGAAUAACGGAUCAGAGUGCCAAGUGGGCCAUUUUUGGUAAGCAGAACUGGCGCUGUGGGAUGAACCAAACGCCGAGUUAAAGCGCCUAAAUCGACGCUUAUGGGAUACCAUGAAAGGCGUUGGUAACUUAAGAUAGCAGGACGGUGGCCAUGGAAGUCGGAAUCCGCUAAGGAGUGUGUAACAACUCACCUGCCGAAGUUACUAGCCCUGAAAAUGGAUGGCGCUGAAGCGUCGUGCUUAUACUCGGCCGUCAGCGGCAUGUGCGAUGGCCACGUGCGCCUUGUGUGCGCGUGGCCGUCAUGAAGCCCUGACGAGUAGGAGGGUCGCGGCGGUGUGCGCAGAAGGGCUGGUCGUAGGACCGUCUGGAGCCGCCGUCGGUGCAGAUCUUGGUGGUAGUAGCAAAUACUCCAGCGAGGCCCUGGAGGACUGACGUGGAGAAGGGUUUCGUGUGAACAGCCGUUGCACACGAGUCAGUCGAUCCUAAGCCCUAGGCGAAAGCCGAUGUUGAUGUGGUGUAGUUUUCUUGAUAAAAUAGUACGUGUACUACAUAAUACGAUGAUGACGUUGAUGAUGUAGAUGUUUGUUUUUGUGUACACACACACACAAUAAUAACAUCGCUUUCAUCAUCAACAACAUGUCAAUGUCGUGUGUCGUACACAACAUUAUUAUAUACUAAUACAAAACACACACCCAUUGGGCGAAAGGGAAUCCGGUUCCUAUUCCGGAACCCGGCAGCGGAACCGUCAAUAAUUCGGGCCCUUGCAAAAGAGUUCGUCGGGGCAACCCAAAAGGACCCGGAGACGCCGUCGGGAGAUCCGGGAAGAGUUUUCUUUUCUGCAUGAGCGUUCGAGUUCCAUGGAAUCCUCUAGCAGGGAGAUAUGGUUUGAAACGCGAAGAGCACCGCAGUUGCGGCGGUGUCCGGAUCUUCCCCUCGGACCUUGAAAAUCCGGGAGAGGGCCACGUGGAGGCGUCGCGCCGGUUCGUACCCAUAUCCGCAGCAGGUGUCCAAGGUAAAGAGCCU
rnacentral:rRNA from 1 species